rnacentral:tRNA from 1 species
GGGCGCGUAGUAUAGCCUGGAUAGUACACUUGGCUUCGGACCAGGAGACUCCAGUUCGAAGCAAAAGCAAGCUUUUGGUUCGCCAAGACCUUGCCUUGACGAAAUUCUGGACGCGCUCA